rnacentral:rRNA from 1 species
GACGAACGCUGGCGGCGUGCUUAACACAUGCAAGUCGAACGGAAAGGCCCUGCUUUUGUGGGGUGCUCGAGUGGCGAACGGGUGAGUAACACGUGAGUAACCUGCCCUUGACUUUGGGAUAACUUCAGGAAACUGGGGCUAAUACCGGAUAGGAGCUCCUGCUGCAUGGUGGGGGUUGGAAAGUUUCGGCGGUUGGGGAUGGACUCGCGGCUUAUCAGCUUGUUGGUGGGGUAGUGGCUUACCAAGGCUUUGACGGGUAGCCGGCCUGAGAGGGUGACCGGCCACAUUGGGACUGAGAUACGGCCCAGACUCCUACGGGAGGCGGCGGUGGGGAAUAUUGCACAAUGGGCGGAAGCCUGAUGCAGCAACGCCGCGUGCGGGAUGACGGCCUUCGGGUUGUAAACCGCUUUCGCCUGUGACGAAGCGUGAGUGACGGUAAUGGGUAAAGAAGCACCGGCUAACUACGUG